CUUCAUCAUCUCUCUGCAAAAGCAUAAUAUCUUCUUGAGAUCAAAGCAGUUCCUCUGCUUCAAGGUCAUGCAUCUUAAAGGUGUUAUCCUGCUUCCUUGAUGUCUGGAACGAUUACAGUGAUAAUGAUCCCUUCCCGUGGAAUACAAGCAGCAACAAGGACUCGAACAAUGCUGCUCCCUCAGGAGAACCAGGGCAAAAGUUUUCAGUCACAAGCACUGGGCGUGCACCUGAACCAGAACAAUUGAAAAAAGUAAAAUUCUUUCAAGGAUUGAAGAAUGUAACACAAAACAGUUCCAAGCUGGAAUGGGUCAGUGGCAGCAGCAUUAACAGCUCACAUAGCAUUACAGAAAAAGGAAAUUAUUUUGUUUAUGUGCAGGUAACAUUCAAAGGCCAGUGCCUCCAUGAGGACUUACUGUUGAAAACAACUUUGUGCAAGAAAGAAAUGAAAAUACAUGACAAAGAAUUGCUGGUGACCAGUGUAUCAGUUUGUGAAAAUGCGACUAACGGAAAGUGGACCAGAACUCUCUCCCAAGCAGCUAUCUUCUAUUUUGAGAAAGGAGAUAAUAUACAUAUCAACACCACAACAAUGGAAUAUGUUGAUUUUUAUCACCAUUAUAAUAAUAUAUUUGGCAUUUACAGAUUGUAACACUAGGAAACACAAAUGAAAAUUUGAUUCUACUCUCAGUUUCUAUGUUAUUUAUAGUUGUACAGUUUCUCUUUUGCUAUUUAUCGCUCUUUGAAUGAUUCAAUAACCUUUCAGUUAUCUGUCUUGCUGUCUACCUCCCUAUUUAUCUAUUUAUACAUAAAUGAGGUUUUUUUGUCUUUUCCAAUAAUUUCAUUAAAUUUUUUUGUUCCAUUAUUUGAUGAUAAUUCCACAAGCUAAGCAAAGUAUUAAUGCAUGUAUGCAGAUGAGAAGGAAACGAUAAUUCACAGAUAUGCAAUAGAUUUUUCUGUUAGGCACGCCACCUAUUGAUGCUGAAUGGGUCACUGCCUAUUUGUAAAUUGAACGGAAUUCAUCCCAGAGAAAAUGAUUCUUCCUAUUUUAGUAAGAUUAACUGUUUUUAAAAAAUACAUUCCAGAAUUCUGAAUGUUCUUAUAGUUGCUCCAUAAUUUCCAAAACAAUUGAGUUAUGAAAAAUAUUAAAUGGGGCAAGCUUUCGUAAUUCUGCGUUCUUUCAGCUGCUUGAGAAUCCAAAGUAGACAUAAUUUAUUAGCCUUACAUGCCUGAUUACAGAUUAUUUAUUUUCUGCAUUGGAUCCAAAAUUGCCUGAAAUCGACUGCAGAACUAUUUCUCAAUAAAUCACUAGGAACAAUGUUGCAUAUUCAUCAAAUACCCUCUUUAGGAUAUCAAACUAUGCUUCCAACUGUCAAGCAAACUAACAAAUCCAGCUUGGAAUGAAAUGAUCACACUUCAAUUGAAAGUAUAUGAUGAUUUCUGUCCUAAGUACAUCUCCACACUAUUACCUCAGGUUUAGCAGGGCCAGUUAUGACCUUUAUGCAUGAUCUUACUCUUGACACUGCCAAGGAUGCAGACUGGCUUCCAUCACACCUCUCUGUAAAUCAUACUGCUGUCCUUCAGGAAUCAAUUACCAACAAGACAGAAAUACAGUAUUAAAAGAAAAAGGCCUGAAAGUCACAACGUAUUUCCAAAUUUAAAUGUUGAAAUUUUGCAUUGAAACUUCUUUUUAUUUGUUUGCACGAUUUAUGAUAUUGCCAGAGAUGGGUGCUUGGAUUAGGAUCUUGUAAGAAUGUAUUAUUUAAAAAAGUAAUGUACAAUUCAUGGUUGGGAAGUACAAUGUCAUUCUAAUAGGUUUAAUCAUAAAACAUUACGUUUCUGUAGCACUCUUCACGUACAGACAACAUAAAAGUGUUCUAUGGAGCGUAAGCAAAAGAGUGUUCAAUGAACACGAUGAAAAUGUAAAACCAUAAAACUUGGGCCCGGUUAAAAGAAGCUGUCAGGAAUGGUAUCAGUCAGGAAGGAAAGUAACAAGGGAGGGAAUUUUAGAAUUUUGGGACAUAGAGCUCAAGAAAGUGGGAUGGAGGAAGUGAGAAAUGAGGAUUAAAUCCAAUGUUGGAAGUGUGGGUGUUUUUUGUAGAGCCAAAUGAUUGCAGGCAAUUGUUUAAGGAGGGUGGUGGUUUGUAAAUGGGAAGGAGCAAUACAUCAUGCAGACCUUGAUGGCAAUUUUUCUGACAUUGGCUCUCGAAUAUCCAGUUUCUGCUUUUGGGGAACUAAUCAGAUUUGAAGUCAUCUCAGCAUUCACCUCACUUUAAGCCAUUCAAUAAAAACAAAACAGAAUUUGGAAAUACUAAGCAGGCCAGGUAGGAGGGAGAAAGAGAGUCAGAAAUUCAGAUUAUGUCUCAUUGUGCUCUGUUUUUGAAUGUGCAGACUGUUAUGGACUGGUUGGAGUUUGAGUCCCAUUCGAGUUAUCCAAUAAUUUGAUUCAGUAUUGUAUCAAUGCAUUUUCUUUUUCAUUUUGGGACAAUUUAUGUUGUGAGGUUAAAAUUUGUUUUAUCUUUUUAUUUUGUGUGAUGAUUCAAUUUCAAUUGUUUUUGUUUUUAAA